rnacentral:rRNA from 1 species
UUUUUAGCGGCGGACGGGUGAGUAACGUGUGGGUAACCUGCCUUUUACUGGGGAAUAAUCACUGGAAACGGUGACUAAUACCGCAUACGGUUCUUGGAAGGCAUCUUCUGAGAAAGAAAGGAUUUAUUCGGUAAAAGAUGGGCCCGCAUCUGAUUAGCUAGUUGGUGAGAUAACAGCCCACCAAGGCGACGAUCAGUAGCCGACCUGAGAGGGUGACCGGCCACAUUGGGACUGAGACACGGCCCAAACUCCUACGGGAGGCAGCAG